CCGCGCCGCCGCGCACCUGCCCGCAGCCGGGGUUCCGACGCGCAUCCCCGCGCCUCUCGGGUUUGGGGCACCCAGGGGGCAGGGGACCCACGGCCGAAGCCUGAGCGCCGCGGGCUCGGUUCCUGCCGGCAACGCACUCCUUUCCUGCCUGCCCACCUUUCAGUGGAGACAGGGAGCCAGAAAGAACUGGCUAGACUUGCAGAGGGUUCACAGUGCUGGAGACUCCCUAUCGUAAAACCAGUACAAGGAAACACGGUGGAUGGAAAAUGAGUUGUUAGAGAUAAUAAGUGGUGUGGGAAAGGAGAAAUACUUCUGAAAUGGC
rnacentral:lncRNA from 1 species